rnacentral:tRNA from 1 species
GGGGGUAUAGCUCAGCUGGUUAGAGCGCUGGCCUGUCAAGCCAGAGGUCGCGAGUUCAAGUCUCGUUACUCCCGCCA